rnacentral:rRNA from 1 species
GACGAACGCUGGCGGCGUGCUUAACACAUGCAAGUCGAACGGUAAGGCCCUUCGGGGUACACGAGUGGCGAACGGGUGAGUAACACGUGGGUGAUCUGCCCUGCACUUCGGGAUAAGCCUGGGAAACUGGGUCUAAUACCGGAUAGGACCACUGCCUGCAUGGGUGGUGGUGGAAAGCUUUUGCGGUGUGGGAUGGGCCCGCGGCCUAUCAGCUUGUUGGUGGGGUGAUGGCCUACCAAGGCGACGACGGGUAGCCGGCCUGAGAGGGUGACCGGCCACACUGGGCCUGAGAUACGGCCCAGACUCCUACGGGAGGCAGCAGUGGGGAAUAUUGCACAAUGGGCGCAAGCCUGAUGCAGCGACGCCGCGUGAGGGAUGACGGCCUUCGGGUUAUAAACCUCUUUCAGCAUCGACGAAGCGAAAGUGACGGUAGGUGCAGAAGAAGGACCGGCCAACUACGUGCCAGCCGCCGCAGUAA